GGCAGCAUAAUGUAGUGGUUUGAACACUGGACUAUGACUCUGGAGACCAGGGUUCAAAUCCCAACUCAGCUA
rnacentral:tRNA from 1 species